GACGAACCGUGCGAACGUUAUUCGGAAUCACUGGGCUUAAAGCGCGUGUAGGCGGCUCGGCAAGUCGGAUGUGAAAGCCCUGGGCUUAACCUAGGAAGUGCAUUCGAAACUGCCGAGCUGGAGUUCUGGAGAGGAAGGCGGAAUUCUCGGUGUAGAGGUGAAAUUCGUAGAUAUCGAGAGGAACACCGGUGGCGAAGGCGGCCUUCUGGACAGAAACUGACGCUGAGGUGCGAAAGCGUGGGGAGCAAACAGG
rnacentral:rRNA from 1 species